ensembl:lncRNA LINC02731 long intergenic non-protein coding RNA 2731
AGAAUAAGCUAGGUGGGUUUUCAAGGAGCUGCUGAAUAUGCAUGAGAGGCAGCAAGAGAGAGAGCAGGAGAAUGAACAUGGGGGAGACGCAGAGAAGCACACAGAGGCAUGACUGAUAAGGGCAGAGGAGGAAAGAAGGUCUCGGAGACCAGGGCAUGAAUGUGGUUGCACAGAGACGGGGAGAAGGAUGGGGAGAAAUGAGGAACAGGAAGAAGAUUCCGAGAGAAAUAAAGAGGCCGAGAGGAGCUGAGCCAGGCAGCCGGUGGAGCAGGCAGAUGGAACAACAGAGACAAAGAACAGAGCCACAGAGUGGGCACACAGCAAGGCCUGGCAGCCAAGCCCUGUGGGUUUGGUGGGAGCAGAUGCUUGUAUGGGAGCAGCAGCUGAUGGCCCCCAGCACGUGCAUCCUUGUUGACUCCAGGCCCAGCACAGCCUCCUCGGCAGCCGGCCUUAGCCUGGAGGAGCAACCCUGGUCCAGAGAGGCAGACGAAUGGCAGCCCUGCCCCGUGGGGGCUCCGGUUCUUCUCCUCCAUCCUCCUCCAGGCUCCGCCCACCUGCUCCGUCUGCCUCCCAGGGCCUCGUGAAUCCCAGGGAAGCCAUGAGCUGCCACAUCACGCCCGGAAGGAAGCGGGCUGCGUUGGAGGGUUGAAGAGAUGAAGGCGCAGAGGCAUGAACUCCCGUAGCCAGAGAGUGUGAGCUGGACUCUACCUGGAGCAGCCUCGGUGCAGAGCCCAUGCCCCCAACCAUGUCCGUGGUCGAGGCCCAGCCCAGACAGGGCACAAAGGGGCUGAGGAAGAGGAAGUAAGAUGCCAGGGUUGCCAUGCAGGAGGGCAACCCCAAGUGAGAUGGGCAUCGUGGCCUAGGGCCCACCUUCCGGAAGAGCUCAUCAGAACUUCGGACACACUGCAUGGGCCUAGACCCAGGGCUCGUUGAGCUCCUCCCUCGGAUUGGCUUCGAAUUUUAGGUGAAUCCUCUCUAGCAGCCACAUUCACCCUUGCAAGCCUGCACUUUGUCAUCUUCUGAAAAGGUGCAGGAACAUGAUGCCCAGCUGACUCCCAGGGAGCGGGAGCCCCAGAGGCCAGCGGAGCACAGCCGCAGCAGGCAGAUCUGUUGGGAAACCACGGGAGUAUAGGAGCAGGGCUGGGGGCACCUGAGGGACUGUGGAGCCUGAAUUAUUGAAACGCUUAGAGUAAAGCAGAUUUAGAUUUCACAAAGACAGAGGUGAAGGUGGGUGAAGACGGAGGGAAGGAUUUAAAGGGAAAGAGAAAGAGGAAAGAUAAGAAUGAGGGAGAAAGAGGAAGAGAGAAAGAAAAAGAGAAAUAGAGUUAUCGAAGAUGACUGCAAGUCUGGCCUCUCUCAACCCAAGGAGCCAAGGAGGGGAAGGCCGGCCUGAGCAGCAACGUAGACAAGAGCUCAGGAGGGCAGGGACAGAGCCCUGGCUUCAGCAAGAGCGUGGGGAACAGAGGGCAAGGGGGUCCAUGCAGCCCAGGAUGGCAGGGUGCUCAUACACACAGCCUUGGUCCUGUCCCCUCUCCCAUUGCCGCUUUUGAGCUCACCUUGUUUAAGGCCAAAGCACACACCAUCCUCCCACAGAGCCACUAAUGCAAUUAACAAAACACAUUCAUAAAUCUUGCAUGGCGUCCGGAGCUGUCUCCUCUCCCUAAGCACAAAGGCCAGCUCCAGAGAUGCUGUGCAGAGAGCUGUCUGACCUCUCCAGCGUCAGGGCCCCCUGAAAAGUGCAGCAUAACCCUUAGUAGGACAGAAAGACCAUUGUCUUCUGCCAACCAUUACAAAGUGGAGUGGGGCUGGGGUUAGGAAACACAGACAAAUCAGAAGAGGCUGAGAAGGCGGAGAUGAAAGUGCAUAGGUGUUUGCAGGGAGCUGGGGAAUAGUUCGUGCCUUCCAAGCUCAACAAGAGAGCAUUCAGCAGAGACCAGAGAAUCACCACUUUUGGAGGGUGAUUUUACCUUGUGAGAACAGAGCACAGGGUGUGUGGGACCCAGGGCAUCUUCGGCAAUGCGGGCGUGACUUGGCGGGAUGUCGGUGUUUGUGUUUGCAUGUGUGUGUGCGUGCGUGCAUGCUCAGUCUGGAAAACUGGUGACUCACUAAAACACCGAGCUUUCUGAUCUGAAGAGCUUAUAUUCGGCUAUUUUUAGCUCGUCUUGUCUCUUGGCCCUUUUUUUCCCCUUGUCUGUUUUCAAAUGUAGAG